GCGGAAGGAUCAUUAUUGUAUAACACGAGACAUUGAGGCUGUCGCUGACGAAAGUCGUGCACGCCUUGGUGUUCUUACCUCCAUUUCACCCUUGUGCAUCAUCGCGUGGGCCGUUCCCAUUGGGAAUGGUCUACGUUUUUAAUACAAACCCCUAUUGAUGUGUAGAAUGUGUACUUUGCGAUAACAACGCAACUAAUACAACUUUCAACAACGGAUCUCUUGGCUCUCGCAUCGAUGAAGAACGCAGCGAAAUGCGAUACGUAAUGUGAAUUGCAGAAUUCAGUGAAUCAUCGAAUCUUUGAACGCACCUUGCGCCUCUUUGGUAUUCCGAGGGGCACGCCCGUUUGAGUGUCCGUGAAANUUCUCACACCCCNCUUGGUUUUUCUUUUGAAGGCUAAGAGGGCUUUGGACUUGGAGGUUCUUGCUGGGCAGCACUUUGCGAUCAGCUCCUUCUUAAAUGCAUAGCGAGGGUUCUCUUUGCUGACCUUGGCGUGA
rnacentral:rRNA from 1 species